rnacentral:rRNA from 1 species
CACAGAAGAAGCACCGGCUAACUCCGUGCCAGCAGCCGCGGUAAUACGGAGGGUGCGAGCGUUAAUCGGAAUUACUGGGCGUAAAGGGUGCGUAGGUGGUUUAUUAAGUUAUCUGUGAAAUCCCUGGGCUUAACCUGGGCAGGUCAGAUAAUACUGUUUGACUCGAGUAUGGGAGAGGGUAGUGGAAUUUCCGGUGUAGCGGUGAAAUGCGUAGAGAUCGGAAGGAACACCAGUGGCGAAGGCGGCUACCUGGCCUAAUACUGACACUGAGGCACGAAAGCGUGGGGAGCAAACAGGAUU